rnacentral:rRNA from 1 species
GACGAACGCUGGCGGCGUGCUUAACACAUGCAAGUCGAACGGAAAGGCCCUGCUUGCAGGGUACUCGAGUGGCGAACGGGUGAGUAACACGUGGGUGAUCUGCCCUGCACUUCGGGAUAAGCCUGGGAAACUGGGUCUAAUACCGGAUAGGAGCCAUUUUUAGUGUGAUGGUUGGAAAGUUUUUUCGGUGUAGGAUGAGCUCGCGGCCUAUCAGCUUGUUGGUGGGGUAAUGGCCUACCAAGGCGGCGACGGGUAGCCGGCCUGAGAGGGUGGACGGCCACAUUGGGACUGAGAUACGGCCCAGACUCCUACGGGAGGCAGAAGUGGGGAAUAUUGCACAAGGGGCGCAAGCCGGAUGCAGCGACGCCGCGGGGGGGAUGACGGCCUUCGGGUUGUAAACUCCUUUCGCUAGGGACGAAGCUUUUUGUGACGGUACCUAGAUAAGAAGCACCGGCUAACUACGUG